GCAGCCGCGGUAACACGGGGGAUGCGAGCGUUAUCCGGAAUUAUUGGGUUUAAAGGGAGCGUAGGUUGCUUGUCAAGUCAGCGGUCAAAUACUGCAGCUAAACUGUAGGCAGCCGUUGAAACUGGCGAGCUCGAGUGAGGACGAGGUUGGCGGAACAGGUGAAGUAGCGGUGAAAUGCAUAGAUAUCACCUGGAACCCCGAUAGCGAAGGCAGCUAACCAGGCCUUAACUGACACUGAUGCUCGAGAGCGUGGGUAGCGAACAGGAUUAGAUACCCC
rnacentral:rRNA from 1 species